GACGAACCGUGCGAACGUUGUUCGGAAUCACUGGGCUUAAAGGGCGCGUAGGCGGGCCACCAAGUCAGGGGUGAAAUCCUGCGGCUCAACCGUAGAAGUGCCUUUGAUACUGGUGGCCUUGAGGGAGGUAGGGGCGUGCGGAACUUCCGGUGGAGCGGUGAAAUGCGUAGAUAUCGGAAGGAACACCGGUGGCGAAAGCGGCGCGCUGGACCUCUUCUGACGCUGAGGCGCGAAGGCCAGGGGAGCGAACGGG
rnacentral:rRNA from 1 species